rnacentral:rRNA from 1 species
UAACUGAAUCCAUAGGUUAAUGAGGCGAACCGGGGGAACUGAAACAUCUAAGUACCCCGAGGAAAAGAAAUCAACCGAGAUUCCCCCAGUAGCGGCGAGCGAACGGGGAGCAGCCCAGAGCCUGAAUCAGUAUGUGUGUUAGUGGAAGCGUCUGGAAAGGCGCGCGAUACAGGGUGACAGCCCCGUACACAAAAAUGCACAUGCUGUGAGCUCGAUGAGUAGGGCGGGACACGUGGUAUCCUGUCUGAAUAUGGGGGGACCAUCCUCCAAGGCUAAAUACUCCUGACUGACCGAUAGUGAACCAGUACCGUGAGGGAAAGGCGAAAAGAACCCCGGCGAGGGGAGUGAAAAAGAACCUGAAACCGUGUACGUACAAGCAGUGGGAGCACGCUUAGGCGUGUGACUGCGUACCUUUUGUAUAAUGGGUCAGCGACUUAUAUUCUGUAGCAAGGUUAACCGAAUAGGGGAGCCGAAGGGAAACCGAGUCUUAACUGGGCGUUAAGUUGCAGGGUAUAGACCCGAAACCCGGUGAUCUAGCCAUGGGCAGGUUGAAGGUUGGGUAACACUAACUGGAGGACCGAACCGACUAAUGUUGAAAAAUUAGCGGAUGACUUGUGGCUGGGGGUGAAAGGCCAAUCAAACCGGGAGAUAGCUGGUUCUCCCCGAAAGCUAUUUAGGUAGCGCCUCGUGAAUUCAUCUCCGGGGGUAGAGCACUGUUUCGGCAAGGGGGUCAUCCCGACUUACCAACCCGAUGCAAACUGCGAAUACCGGAGAAUGUUAUCACGGGAGACACACGGCGGGUGCUAACGUCCGUCGUGAAGAGGGAAACAACCCAGACCGCCAGCUAAGGUCCCAAAGUCAUGGUUAAGUGGGAAACGAUGUGGGAAGGCCCAGACAGCCAGGAUGUUGGCUUAGAAGCAGCCAUCAUUUAAAGAAAGCGUAAUAGCUCACUGGUCGAGUCGGCCUGCGCGGAAGAUGUAACGGGGCUAAACCAUGCACCGAAGCUGCGGCAGCGACGCUGAUGCGUUGUUGGGUAGGGGAGCGUUCUGUAAGCCUG